rnacentral:rRNA from 1 species
GACGAACGCUGGCGGCGUGCCUAAUACAUGCAAGUCGAACGCUUCUUUCCUCCCGAGUGCUUGCACUCAAUUGGAAAGAGGAGUGGCGGACGGGUGAGUAACACGUGGGUAACCUACCCAUCAGAGGGGGAUAACACUUGGAAACAGGUGCUAAUACCGCAUAACAGUUUAUGCCGCAUGGCAUAAGAGUGAAAGGCGCUUUCGGGUGUCGCUGAUGGAUGGACCCGCGGUGCAUUAGCUAGUUGGUGAGGUAACGGCUCACCAAGGCAACGAUGCAUAGCCGACCUGAGCGGGUGAUCGGCCACACUGGGACUGAGACACGGCCCAGACUCCUACGGUAGGCAGCAGUAGGGAAUCUUCGGCAAUGGACGGAAGUCUGACCGAGCAACGCCGCGUGAGUGAAGAAGGUUUUCGGAUCGUAAAACUCUGUUGUUAGAGAAGAACAAGGACGUUAGUAACUGAACGUCCCCUGACGGUAUCUAACCAGAGAGCCACGGCUAACUACGUGCCAGCCGCCGCCGUAA